CUGUGCCAGCCUCUCCAUUUCCUGGGCUCCACCGAUCCGGCUGCCCUGGAUCUGCUGGUCAAUGUGCCGGGCGAACUGCUCACUCACCUGAGCAAUGGCAGAGCAUAGGAAAGCCGUGAAUGAGUGAGCAGAGAAGGCCUGCUCCUGCCCACCUGCUUCUCCACCACGGCCCGCCAACAGCGUGUCAGGUUUCUCAUGAUGCUGCUUGGAAGGCCCCGGGUAGCCAAGGAGCUCCAGUCGUGGCUUCUGUUUCUGCCUUCUGUGGAGACCAGGAAAGUGGCAGAGGCAAGGAGGGGGCAGCCCCUCCACUCCCAAGUCCCCAUCCAAGGGGGUUCCCUGAGGCCUUUCCUGACAUGCUGCCACCCAAAAUGAUGUUCAUGGAUGGAGGUGACACAAACCUGGAAGAUGAACAGGCUGAGUCCAUAGGGAGGGGAAGGAUGGGGAUGGACAGAAGCCUGUGGUGUACACGUGGGGCCCAGGAAAAUGCUCCUGACUAGAGCUCCCCACCUGAAUCUCCACUACUCACUGGGCCGAGGAGUGGCUGCCACAGGAGGGGGUGCCUCGCAGGGCUCGACAUGCACCAGCAGGUGAGUGAGACGGCGCACCCGCGAGAAGAAAGCUGGGCCGCGGCUCUGGGGGUUGAAGACAGCUUCCUGACACUCCAGGUACUGGUCCAGCAGCCAACCCAGGGGGCUAAUGCCAUCCUCAUCUAGAGGGUGAGAUAAACAAAUCAAGGCACAGCCAUGUCUGCAGGGAAGUGGGAGAGGUUGGGCUGAACAGGAAUGUGGAGAUAGAGCAACUGGACGGAAUGAUACAAGGGAGGGGGCCGGGUAGGGUGGUUUAUGCCUGUAAUCCCAGCACUUUGGGAGGCUGAGAUGAGAGGAUCGCUUGAGGCAGGAGUUUGAGACUGGCCUGGUCAACAUAGCAGGACCCCACCUUUAAAAAUAAGAAAUAAACAUAAAAAAAUAGAAAAGGCCAGGCGCGGUGGUUCAUGCCUGUAAUCCCAACACUUUGGGAGGCUGAGGUGGGCGGAUCACCUGAGGUCGGGAGUUCGAGAUCAGCCUGACCAACAUGGAGAAACCCCAUCUCUACUAAAAAUAUAAAAUUAGCCAGGUGUGGGUCGGGCGCGGUGGCUCAUGCCUGUAAUCCCAGCACUUCGGGAGACUGAGGUGGGUGGAUCACCUGAGACUGGGAGUUCGAGACCAGCCUGACCAACGUAGAGAAAAUCCUUCUCUACUAAAAGUACAAAAUUAGCUGGGCAGGCUGGGCGCGGUGGCUCAAGCCUGUAAUCCCAGCACUUUGGGAGGCCGAGGCGGGCGGAUCACGAGGUCAGGAGAUCGAGAUCAUCCUGGCUAACACGGUGAAACCCCGUCUCUACUAAAAAUACAAAAAAUUAGCCGGGCGUGUUGGCGGGCGCCUGUAGUCUCAGCUACUCGGGAGGCUGAGGCAGGAGAAUGGCGUGAACCCGGGAGGCAGAGCUUGCAGUGAGCCGAGAUUGCGCCACUGCACUUCAGCCUGGGGGACAGAGCAAGACUCCGUCUCAAAAAAAAAAAAAAAAAAUUAGCUGGGCCUGGUGGCCCAUGCCUGUAAUUCCAGCUAUUUGGGAGGCUGAGGCAGGAGAAUCACUUGAACCCUGGAGGCAGAGGUUGCAGUGAGCUGAGACCACGCCAUUGCACUCCAGUCUAGGCAACAAGAGCGAAACUCUGUCUCAAAAAAAUAAAAUAAAAUAAAA